rnacentral:rRNA from 1 species
AUCGAUGAAGAACGCAGCGAAAUGCGAUAAGUAGUGUGAAUUGCAGAAUUCAGUGAAUCAUCGAAUCUUUGAACGCACAUUGCGCCCCUUGGUAUUCCAUGGGGCAUGCCUGUUCGAGCGUCAUUUGUACCCUCAAGCUCUGCUUGGUGUUGGGUGUUUGUCCCGCCUUUGGUGCGUGGACUCGCCUCAAAAUAAUUGGCAGCCGGCAUAUUGGCCUUGGAGCGCAGCACAUUUUGCGCUUCUAGUCAAUGAUUGUUGGCGUCCAGCAAGUACAAAUCUCAACUUUUGACCUCGGAUCAGGUAGGGAUACCCGCUGAACUUAAGCAUAUCAAUAAGCGGAGGAAAAGAAACCAACAGGGAUUGCCCUAGUAACGGCGAGUGAAGCGGCAACAGCUCAAAUUUGAAAUCUGGCUCUUUCAGAGUCCGAGUUGUAAUUUGCAGAGGGCGCUUUGGCGUUGGCAGCGGUCCAAGUUCCUUGGAACAGGACGUCACAGAGGGUGAGAAUCCCGUACGUGGUCGCUGGCCUUCGCCGUGUAAAGCCCCUUCGACGAGUCGAGUUGUUUGGGAAUGCAGCUCUAAAUGGGAGGUAAAUUUCUUCUAAAGCUAAAUACUGGCCAGAGACCGAUAGCGCACAAGUAGAGUGAUCGAAAGAUGAAAAGCACUUUGGAAAGAGAGUCAAAUAGCACGUGAAAUUGUUGAAAGGGAAGCGCUUGCAGCCAGACUUGCCUGUAGUUGCUCAUCCGGGCUUUUGCCCGGUGCACUCUUCUGUAGGCAGGCCAGCAUCAGUUUGGACGGUUGGAUAAAGGACUCUGUCACGUACCUCCUUUCGGGGAGGCCUUAUAGGGGAGUCGUCAUGCAACCAGUCUGGACUGAGGUCCGCGCAUCUGCUAGGAUGCUGGCGUAAUGGCUGUAAGCGGCCCGUCUUGAAACACGG